UCCCAAAUUUACACUCUCUGGGCAUAAUAGAACAAUAUAAUUAGGUUUUACGCUUUGUUCGAUAGAAUGAGAAAAAGUACUCGUUGCAAAGUUAUACUGUUUGGGCGCAAUUGAGUAUUGUAAUGUGGUUCCGGUUUUAAUUCUUGUGAACGUUGACAUGAAAUCGUUCCAAAUUUACACUCUCGGGACAUAAUAGAAAAAUAUAAUUAGGUUUUACUCUUUGUUCGAUAGAAUUAGAAAAAGUACUCGUUGCAAAGUUAUACUAUUAGGGUGCAACUGGGUAGUCUAAUGUUGUUCCGGUUUUUCUUCUUGUGAACGUUGAUAUCGAUUCGUUCCAAAUUUACACUCUCUGGGCAUAAUAGAAUAAUAUAAUUAGGUUUUACGCUUUGUUCGAUAGAAUGAGAAAAAGUACUCAUUGCAAAGUUAUACUGUUAGGGCGCAACUGAGUAGUCUAAUGUUGUUCCGGUUUUUGUUCUUGUGAACGUUGACAUCGAUUAGUUCCAAAUUCACUCUCAGGGUAUAAUAGAACAAUAUAAUUAGGUUUUACUCUUUGUUCGAUUGAAUGACAAAAAGUACUCGUUGCAAAGUUAAACUGUUAGGACGCAACUGAGUAGUCUAAUGUUGUUCCGGUUUGGUUCUUGUGAACGUUAACAUCGAUUCGUUCCCAAUUUGCACUCUCGGGGCAUAAUAGAACAAUAUAAUUAGGUUUUACUCUUUGUUCGAUUGAAUGAGAAAAAAUACAGUUGCAAAGUUAUACUGUUAGGGCGCAACUGAGUAGUCUAAUGUCGUUGCAAAGUUAUACUGUUAGGGCGUAACUGAGUAGUCUAAUGUUGUUCCGGUUUUGGCUCUUGUGAACGUUGACAUCGAUUCGUUCCAAAUUUACACUAUCGGGGCAUAAUAGAGCAAUAUAAUUAGGUUUUACUCUUUGUUUGAUAGAAUGAGAAAAAGUACUGUUGCAAAGUUAUACUGUUAGGGCGCAACUAAGUAGUCUAAUGUUGUUCCGGUUUUGGUUCUUGUGAACGUCGACAUCGAUUCGUUCCAAAUUUAUACUCUCGGGGCAUAAUAAAAUGAUAUAAUUAGGUUUACUCUUUGUUCGAUAGAAUGAGAAAAAGUACUCGCUACAAAGUUAUACAGUUAGGGCGCAACCGAGUAGUUUAAUGUUGUUCCGAUUUUGGUUCUUGUGAACAGUGACAUCGAUUCGUUCCAAAUUUACACUCUCGGGACAUAAUAGAACAAUUUAAUUAGGUUUUACUCUUUGUUCGAUAGAAUGAGAAAAAGUACUCGUCGCAAAGUUAUACUGCUAGGGUGGAGCUGAGUAGUCUAAUGUUGUUCCUAUUUUGGUUCAUGUGAACGUUGACAUCGAUUCGUUCCAAAUUUACACUCUCGGUUCAUAAUAGAACAAUAUAAAUAUGUUUUUCUCUUUGUUCGAUAGAAUGAGAAAAAGUAAUCGUGGCAAAGUUAUACUGUUAGGGCGUAACUGAGUAUUCUAAUGUUUUUCCGGUUUUGGUUCUUGUGAACGUUGGUGUUAUGUCUCUAGCCGUGAAUAGAGACGGAUCUAAGUGAUACUAGUUUCUCGGCUCGUAGUGGUUGUGUCGGCGGCCGACGACGCGACGCUAAGAGUCCAGAACUGGAACACUUGUGAGCUUCCGCCCGAUUUCGUUGUCGAGUCGUUUAAUUUCGUGAACGUUGAGGAAGUUAUCGGAUUGAGAUAACUAAUCGAGUUGUUGCUUUUCAGGAGUAAAUGUCCCCAAGGCGUUACGUGCGUAGGUCUGCUCCGGUACCGCCUUCUGCGGAGCCCGAGCAGCCAAGAUCGGAGGAAGUGCAGGAGCUGCGGGAGCAGGUCGCUGCAAUGUUGGGCGCGAUGCAGCGCCAGGAGGCUCGGUUCGAGCAGCUCCAGGAUGUUGUGGAGCGGCAAGCGGCGGCGGCGGCGGCCGCGACGGCGACAGGGGAUCGUGAUCCGCCCGCACCUUCGGCACGCACGCCUGUAGCGGCCGAGGGUGAGGGCAUAGCGGCGGUUCCGAUGGCGGCAGUUCCCCGGCCGACAAGUGCGCCUCCGAUAGCUUCGGGUUCGGGGACGCUCGAUACGACAGCCGACAAAGUGGAGCGUGAACGUGCGCUGGCUGCUAAGAUGAAGUUCAUGAAGUUUAAGCCACCAACUUUUGAAGGGGGGAAAGUGGAGCCGUUGGUGGUGGAGUCUUGGGUAGACUCUAUGGAGACUCUCUUCGAGGACCUGUACAUCCCGGAGAAAGAUAAGGUGCCUUUCGCCACCCAUUGCCUCGAAAAGGCGGCGAAGGUAUGGUGGAAGCGGUUGAAGCGGGAUCGACCCUCUUACCUUCCACCAAUGCUUUGGGAGGAGUUUAAGAAGGAGAUGUUUGGAAAUUAUUUCCCCGACACCGAGAAGCGAAAGCUAAAGGAGAGGUUUUGCAAAUUGAGACAGGGGGAUCGUUCGGUGGCGGACUACGAACAAGAGUUCUCCCACAUUAUAGACUGCGUCCCGGACGUGGUUAAGGACGACUCGGAUCGAGCCGAGUGGUUCUUGCGAGGACUUCGGCCGUGGAUAUAUAGAGCGGUGCAAUUGUUCCAGCUCACGACUUUCGCCGAGGUUUUCAAUAAGGCGCUAUGGGCAGAGCAUGGAGAUGCCCAUGUGCGAGAGGAACGUGAGUUGUUGGCCAGAUCCCAAGAUAAGGGGAAGAAGCGAUCGGGCGGCGGUUCGGGGGGACAAUCGAGUUCGAGGAGGCCCCCGAAGUAUCCGCGGUCGCAGUCGUGGGGCCGUGGGCCGCAGCGGUGCCCUAUCUGUGGAGAUCGAGGCCAUCGGGCACCGCAGUGUAGACAACGACAAGGAAGGUGCUUUAAUUGUGGACAAGAAGGACACGUCAGCCGCGACUGUCUGGCAAGGGCCUCGUCUACUCCGUCAGUCGCAUCGACCCCAGCGCCCUCGCCUUAUCAAGGAGGGGCCCCGUAUGUUCCUGUAUCGGCGGGACGCGCACUAGCGCCGCGCAAGCCGGAGGUGACUCGAUCAACGCCGAGCGGACGGGUAUUCGCCGCUCAGGCCCAUGCCGGGGAGCCUGCCCAAGCCGAGGAGCCUGAUGUUGUGGCAGGUAUGGUUCUAAUCAAUGGAGUUCGCUCCAGAGCUAUGUUCGAUACGGGUGCCACGCAUUCAUUUAUUAGUAGGGCAUUUGCACGCAUGCACGACAUACCCAUAGAAGCAAGUGACAAGUGGCGAGUCGAGGGUCCUGAGUCGUCGUUUAAUACCUAUACGGAAUGCUCGUCAUGCCCAGUACAAGUAGGUGACUGGAUAAUGCCCAUCCGAAUGUUGGAACUCACUAAACUGGAGGCGUAUGACGUCAUUUUGGGCAUGGACUGGCUCUCAAGGUAUUACGCUACGAUCGAUUGUAAGAAUAAAUCGAUCACCUUUCGGGAGCCAGGACAGAAGGAGUUCGUUUAUCGAGCUUGUCGGAGUUCUUGCUUCGUCGCGCCGGUAUCAGCGACGAGAGCUAGGAAGUUGGUCAACGGCGGCUGCGUAGCAUUUUUGGCGACCGUCGUGGAGGUGGACCGGGUGGUGCCGAAACUAGAAGAUUUAUCGGUGGUGCGGAAAUUUCCGGAUGUAUUUCCCGCGGAGCUGGCAGGGAUGCCGCCGGAUCGGGAGAUCGAGUUCGUUAUAAACUUGAUUUUCGGGACGGCGCCGAUCCCAAAGGCCCCAUACCGCAUGGCGCCGGCAGAGUUAAGAGAACUGAGGGAUCAGUUACAAGAUCUUCUCGACAAAAGGUUUAUCAGGCCGAGCGUAUCACCGUGGGAGCGCCGAUAUUGUUCGUGCGCAAGAAGGAUGGCUCGUUUUGACUCUGCGUGGAUUAUCGCGAGUUGAAUAGGGUCACCAUAAAGAAUAAGUACCCGUUGCCCCGAAUCGACGACUUAUUUGAUCAAUUAUAGGGGUCACGAGUGUACGCGAAGAUAGACCUACAAUCCGGCUAUCAUCAGUUAAAGAUCAAGCCGGAGGAUAUUCAGAAGACCGCGUUUCGUACGCGUUAUGGACACUAUGAGUACACGGUUAUGCCUUUCGGGCUCACUAAUGCCCGGCUGCAUUCAUGGACCUGAUGAACCGUGUGUUCAAGUCGUGCUUGGACCGAUUUGUCAUGGUCUUCAUAGACGACAUCUUGGUCUAUUCGCGGAGCGACGAGGAGCACGCGGAACGUUUGCGGACGGUGCUUCAAAUCCUUCUAGAGGAGAAGCUAUUCGCAAAGCUAAAGAAGUGUGACUUCUGGCUUCGAGAGGUUGCCUUCUUAGGGCAUGUGAUUUCUGAGGGUGGUGUUUCGGUUGACCCGAGGAAAGUCGAAGCGGUCGAGAAUUGGCCACGCCCAACGAACGUCACGGAGGUCCAAAGCUUUAUAGGCUUAGCGGGCUAUUAUCGACGGUUUGUGGAGGGCUUUUCAAAAACUGUAACUCCACUUACCGGUUUGACUCAGAAGGGCGCCAAGUUUAUUUGGAGCGACGAGUGUGACCAAAGAUUCAACGAAUUGAAGAAAAGAUUGACGUCGGCUCCGAUACUCGCCUUACCGGUGCAGGGCGAGAACUUUGUGGUCUAUAGCGAUGCAUCCUAUCUAGGCUUGGGGUGUGUUCUGAUGCAAGGCGGGAGGGUGAUAGCUUAUGCAUCCCGUCAGCUGAAGGACCACGAGAAGAAUUACCCCAUCCAUGACUUGGAGUUGGCGGCGGUGAUCUUUGCACUGAAGUUGUGGAGGCACUACCUAUACGGUGCACACUGCGAGAUCUAUACCGACCACAAAAGUCUGAAAUAUCUAUUUACCCAGAAGGAGCUAAACAUGCGGCAAAGGCGGUGGCUAGAGCUAUUAAAGGAUUAUGAUGUCGAUAUUCUCUAUCACCCCGACAAAGCAAAUGUGGUUGCGGAUGCACUUAAUAGAAAGUCGGCGAAGAACCUCGCUUUUGAUGUUACCCGGCAAACACCCCUAGGGCUGGAGAUGGAGCGACUGGACCUCGAAGUGGUCGCUCCCGAGGUCCCGGCUCAGCUGAUGGCGCUCGUUAUUCAGCCGACCUUAUUGGAGAGGAUCAGAAACUUGCAACCUGCAGAUCCGAGUCUCCAAAAGGUGCGGCGCAACAUCGAGGAAGGACGAGAUGGCGAUUUCAGUGUGGACGCCGGUGGCGCGCUCCGGUUUCGAAACCGGUGGUGCGUGCCCGAGAAUGAAGAACUUCGCGAGCUGGUCUUGCAAGAAGCCCACCGGUCUCCAUAUGCGGAUCACCCGGGCGGCACCAAGAUGUAUCAUGAGUUGAGAGCACUCUAUUGGUGGCCGGGGAUGAAGGCUGAUAUUGGGCGCUUUGUGGCAAGGUGCUUGACUUGUCAGCAAGUAAAGGCGGAGCGCCGGUUUCCAGCGGGGAAGCUUCAAAGCCUACCUAUUCCCGUCUGGAAAUGGGAAGAUAUAUCUAUGGAUUUCAUCGUUGGCUUACCUCGCUCGACAGAGGGACACGACGCGAUCUGGGUGAUUGUGGACCGCUUGACAAAGUCAGCGCACUUUUUACCGAUCCACACCACCUGGGCGGGGGAUAAGUUGGCGCAGGUAUAUCUUGACGAAGUAGUGAGGUUACACGGGGUGCCAAAAUCGAUUGUGUCGGAUAGAGACCCCAAGUUCACUUCACAUUUCUGGAGAAGCCUACAGGAGGCCCUUGGCACACGGCUUAAUUUCAGUACUGCAUUUCAUCCCCAGACAGAUGGACAAACUAAAAGAACCAUUCAGACUCUGGAGGAUAUGUUGCGAGCAUGUGUCAUCGAUUACAAAGGGGGUUGGUGUAAGUAUUUGUCAAUGGCCGAGAUCGCCUACAACAACAGUUAUCAUGCUAGUGUGGAGACGGCACCGUUCGAGGCUCUUUAUGGGCGGAAGUGCCGCUCUCCCAUUUAUUGGAGUGACGUGGGCGAGCGCACGGAAUUUGGCCCCGAUGUGCUGCGGGAGGCGGAAGAAAAGGUCCGCCUUGCUCGCAAACGGUUACUCAGGGCGCAAUCUCGACAACAGAGCUAUGCGGAUAGGCGCCGACGAGAUUUGGAGUUUGCGGUGGGCGACCGCGUCUUCUUGAAGGUAUCUCCUAUGAGGGGCGUUAAGCGAUUUGGAGUUCGGGGCAAAUUGAGUCCCCGAUAUAUUGGCCCUUAUGAGAUCUUGGAGCGGAUUGGGACGGUGGCUUAUCGGCUCGCGUUGCCGCCGAAGCUAGCGGAUGUGCACAAUGUAUUCCACGUCUCCAAUCUACUCAAAUACAUUCCUGACCCCGAGCACGCGAUGUUAUACGAACCGCCGGAACUUCAGGAGGACCUGAGCUACGAGGAAUUCCCGGUGGCAAUUACCGCUCGUGAAGUGCGCAAGUUAAGGAAUCGGGAAAUUCCUUAUGUCCGAGUCCGGUGGAGCAAUCGUGAUGAUCGCGAAGCCACCUGGGAGCUCGAGGAGGAGAUGAAGGCGAAUCAUCCUCGCCUGUUCGAAGGUUGAAUCGAGGUAUGAGUUUAGAAUUUGAAAUUCUAAUUAAGUCUUGUAGUAUCGAGUUCGUUUCGAGGAUGAAACUCUUUUAAGGUGGGAAGGAUGUUAGGAAGUGAAUUCUCGAAACUCGAGGAUUAGACUUCGACUAGAAUCGACUAGUUGUCGAGUGCGUAGGCUUCGGAAAGUCCGAAGGUGAUUAUAAUGCAUAAAGUGCAUUAAAGAAGGGUUCGCGGGAGCACCAGUGCAAAAUCUGCACUAGGAGCAGAAUUGCUCACGGGGACCGGUCCCUGGCGGGGAGGGACCGGUUCCAUCAGGCUGGGCUGCAGAGGUCUCUGAUGAGACCGGUCCCUGGCAGGCAGGGACCGGUUCCCGAACGUCAGCCCAGCGAGAAUAGCCGAAAUUUGGCUAAGUCUCGAGAAUCCAACUUUCGGGAACCGGUCUCUCGGACAAGGACCGGUCUCCCGGGGACCGGUCUCUCAGGCAAGGACCGGUUUCCGAACGCGAAAACCCCUCUGCUCGAAAUGGCAGCCUUCGGGGACCGAUCUCCCCGAGCUGGGACCGGUCCCUCACUGCGAAAAUGCCCAGAGAGGUCUAGAUCAGAGGAUGAAAAGUUGAGGGGGCUAUCUGCAAAAUGGCCUUUAAUAGAGGUGGGGGACCCCUCUCUUUCCCUCAUUGCUCUCUAACUCUCUCACUCUUUCCCUCUCUCUCUCUAGAAAGAAAAGAAAGAGAAGAAGAAGAAGAAGAAGAAGAAGAAGAAGAAGAAGAGGAGGAAGGAAAAGAAGAGAAAAGAGAAGGAGAAGAUCAAGAAGAAGGAGAAGAUCAUCUUCUUCCCUCUCUCCUUCAAGCUAGAGUAAGCUUGGAGCCUUGGUUUGAAGGUAAGCUCUAGACCCUCUAAUGGUAUUUCUAGGGUUUAGGUUUUUGUUGUUUAGAAUUGGUUCAAAUGGAACCUAGAGAAGAUAAGUAGAUGGUUCGGGCUCGCAAUCGAAGCUCGCACCACGGAUUUCUCCCUCGUUGCCAUUCUAGGGCACGGAUUUGGGAUUUUGGUAAAUCUAGGGUUUUGAUCUAUCUUAAUAGGUCGUAAAACAAAUUGCUAGGUCUCGGAACGCAUCGGCGAAGACGGUUUGCCGAUCCGACGAGCGAGUGCGGAGUUAUCGCCGAAUCGGGUACUCGAGGGCUCGCUUCGCCCCGAGGAGUCGAAGCGGCAUGCAAAGACCGCAGCGUCAAGUUUUCUACCAUCGCGGCAUCGCCAAGAGGUGGGUGGUGUCCAUCCCGAAGCAAUCGGGCUCCCUUCUAUGUCUUAGUACAUGUCGACUCUUGCAUCUUGUAUUAUUGCAUUAUAGGAUGAUUGUACAUUGCCUUUCCUUAUGCUUUCCUUGAUGAUAUCGUAGCAUGUAUUUGAUAUUGGACAUAGUGGAUUGAUAAGGAUUGGGUCGAGACUUGUGAAUCCUAUAAUGCAGAGAAAAUGAUGGGCUCAAUGGUUGGUCUAAUGAUGAACAAAGAACGAGUGGCAUCUAGUCAAUAGUAAACCAUGAACGAGUGGCAUUUAGUUGAUAGUAAGCAAAAGAACGAAUGACACAUAUGAGUCGUAGUGUACGUGAAACCUAUGGACUAUAUGAUGAUUGUAACCCUAGAGGAUAGGGUAUUCUCGAGACGAGGAUUGGAUCAUGCUCACGGUCUGUUUUUAAAUUUUGUGAUGGAAGCCUCACACAAGUAGUGCGCUCCGGAUUUGGUCACAUGGGAUUGCCUAUUUUGGGUCCCAAGGGAAUGCCUAUUUUAGGCCCCGGCAGACGGUCUCGGUUCGUAGUGCGAGUUGACCCUCCCUACUUUCGAGAUGGCUAGUGAGCAGUAGGCUCCUUCAGGGAAGCCACGAGAUUAAGAAACAAGUAAAUGAGAUUGAUGAACGAGUAAAUAGCUUUACCUUUGGGCAUGAUAAUGGGUUAGUUGUUUAUCUAUUUCAUUGUACAUGCAUUCAUAUAUUUAUGAUUGGGCAUAGUAGCGUAGCUUUACUUCUGUCAUUUACCGCUUUCCUUAUCUAUCUAUCUAUCGAUUAUCUACUUUUGCCCGCUUGGACCUAGUGGGGAGAUCGGCGGAGUCGGCGGCCGAACCCACUGGGAACUAAGGAAGUUAGUUCUCACCCCACUCUUUACAGGUUCUAGUUCGGGCGUCCCCGGUGAGCGUGAGGAUCGUGGUAAGGGCAAGGCGCUCUAGUCGCAUUAGCUACCUCCCUUUUGCAUUAGCUGUCACCCUUUUUGUAUUUGAGAGUAGAUGUUGUAUAGGGUGAGGUUUGAGUGCUUGUACUUAUAUUUUUGGAAGAAUGUAAAAGACGUACUUAAAUGUAGUAAAUCAAAUGAAUGUAAUGGAUAGCCUCUUCUCUCUUAUGUACUUGUAUAUGUUUCUAUACUUGGUGGUGCUUCUUGAUCGUGUAUUUAUGAAUUGAUUCCUGGGUAAAUUCUUAUACAUGAUCUGUUGGUUAGCCUUGGACGGACAGGGGAGGUCCUGUCCGUUUGGCGUCUAUUCGACGCGCCCGGGGCCGGACCAAAUUGGUAGCGGUCUCGGGGAGUGACAGAGUCCCAAAUUUACACUCUCUGGGCAUAAUAGAACAAUAUAAUUAGGUUUUACUCAUUGUUCGAUAGAAUGAGAAAAAGUACUCGUUGCAAAUUUAUACUGUUUGGGCGCAACUGAGUAUUGUAAUGUUGUUUCGGUUUUAAUUCUUGUGAACGUUGACAUGAAAUCGUUCCAAAUUUACACUCUCGGGACAUAAUAGAAAAAUAUAAUUAGGUUUUACUCUUUGUUCGAUAGAAUUAGAAAAAGUACUCGUUGCAAAGUUAUACUAUAAAGGUGCAACUGGGUAGUCUAAUGUUGUUCCGGUUUUUCUUCUUGUGAACGUUGACAUCGAUUCGUUCCAAAUUUACACUCUCUGGGCAUAAUAGAACAAUAUAAUUAGGUUUUACGCUUUGUUCGAUAGAAUGAGAAAAAGUACUCAUUGCAAAGUUAUACUGUUAGGGCGCAACUGAGUAGUCUAAUGUUGUUCCGGUUUUUGUUCUUGUGAACGUUGACAUCGAUUAGUUCCAAAUUCACAAUCUCAGGGCAUAAUAGAACAAUAUAAUUAGGUUUUACUCUUUGUUCGAUUGAAUGACAAAAAGUACUCGUUGCAAUGUUAAAUUGUUAGGACGCAACUGAGUAGUCUAAUGUUGUUCUGGUUUGGUUCUUGUGAACGUUAACAUCGAUUCGUUCCAAAUUUACACUCUCGGGGCAUAAUAGAACAAUAUAAUUAGGUUUUACUCUUUGUUCGAUUGAAUGAGAAAAAGUACUCGUUGCAAAGUUAUACUGUUAGGGCGCAACUGAGUAGUCUAAUGUUGUUCUGGUUUUGGUUCUUGUGAACGUUGACAUCGAUUCAAUCCAAAUUAACACUCUUGGGGUAUAAUAGAACAAUAUAAUUAGGUUUUACUCCUUGUUCGAUUUAAUGAGAAAAAGUACUCGUCGCAAAGUUAUACUGUUAGUGCGCAACUGAGUAGUCUAAUGUUGUUCCGGU
rnacentral:lncRNA from 1 species